GAAAGGAGCAAUUCGCUAAAAGAUGGCCUUGCGUCUGAUUAGAUAGUUGGUAAGGUAACGGCUUACCAAGUCGACGAUCAGUAGCCGGACUGAGAGGUUGAACGGCCACAUUGGGACUGAGAUACGGCCCAGACUCCUACGGGAGGCAGCAGUCGGGAAUAUUGCGCAAUGGAGGAAACUCUGACGCAGUGACGCCGCGUAUAGGAAGAAGGUUUUCGGAUUGUAAACUAUUGUCGUUAGGGAAGAGAAAGGACAGUACCUAAGGAGGAAGCUCCGGCUAACUACGUGCCAGCAGCCGCGGUAAUACGUAGGGAGCGAGCGUUAUCCGGAAUUAUUGGGUGUAAAGGGUGCGUAGACGGGAAAGCAAGUUAGUUGUGAAAUCCCUCGGCUUAACUGAGGAACUGCAACUAAAACUACUUUUCUUGAGUGCAGGAGAGGUAAGUGGAAUUCCUAGUGUAGCGGUGAAAUGCGUAGAUAUUAGGAGGAACACCAGUGGCGAAGGCGACUUACUGGACUGUAACUGACGUUGAGGCACGAAAGUGUGGGGAGCAAACAGGAUUAGAUACCCUGGUAGUCCACACCGUAAACGAUGGAUACUAGGUGUAGGAGAUAUUAAGUCUUCU
rnacentral:rRNA from 1 species